AGGUGUCUUGGCUAAGGUGUCUUGGCUAAUGUGUCUUGUCUAAUGUGUCUUGGCUAAUGUGUCUUGGCUAAGGUGUCUUGGCUAAGGUGUCUUGGCUAAUGUGUCUUGGCUAAUGUGUCUUGGCUAAUGUGUCUUGGCUAAGGUGUCUUGGCUAAUGUGUCUUGGCUAAGGUGUCUCGGCUAAGGUGUCUUGGCUAAUGUGUCUUGGCUAAGGUGUCUUGGCUAAUGUGUCUUGGCUAAUGUGUCUUGGCUAAGGUGUCUUGGCUAAGGUGUCUUGGCUAAGGUGUCUUGGCUAAUGUGUCUUGGCUAAUGUGUCUUGCCUAAGGUGUCUUGGCUAAGGUGUCUUGGCUAAGGUGUCUUGGCUAAGGUGUCUUGGCUAAAGUGUCUUGGCUAAUGAGUCUUGGCUAAUGUGUCUUGGCUAAGGUGUCUUGGCUAAUGUGUCUUGGCUAAUGUGUCUUGGCUAAGGUGUCUUGGCUAAUGUGUCUUGGCUAAUGUGUCUUGGCUAAUGUGUCUUGGCUAACGUGUCUUGGCUAAUGUGUCUUGGCUAAGGUGUCUUGGCUAAGGUGUCUUGGCUAAUGUGUCUCGGCUAAGGUGUCUUGGCUAAUGUGUCUUGGCUAAGGUGUCUUGGCUAAGGUGUCAUGGCUAAGGUGUCUCGGCUAAUGUGUCUUGGCUAAUGUGUAUUGGCUAAGGUGUCUUGGCUAAGGUGUCUUGGCUAAGGUGUCUUGGCUAAUGUGUCUUGGCUAAGGUGUCUUGGCUAAUGUGUCUUGGCUAAGGUGUCUUGGCUAAGGUGUCUUGGCUAAGGUGUCUCGGCUAAUGUGUCUUGGCUAAUGUGUCUUGGCUAAUGUGUCUUGGCUAAGGUGUCUUGGCUAAGGUGUCUUGGCUAAUGUGUCUUGGCUAACGUGUCUUGGCUAAUGUGUCUUGGCUAAGGUGUCUUGGCUAAGGUGUCUUGGCUAAUGUGUCUCGGCUAAUGUGUCUUGUCUAAUGUGUCUUGGCUAAGGUGUCUUGGCUAAGGUGUCUUGGCUAAGGUGUCUCGGCUAAUGUGUCUUGGCUAAUGUGUCUUGGCUUAGGUGUCUUGGCUAAGGUGUCUUGGCUAAGGUGUCUUUUCUAAUGUGUCUUGGCUAAUUUGUCUUGGCUAAUGUGUCUUGGCUAAUGUGUCUUGGCUAAGGUGUCUUGGCUUAUGUGUCUUGGCUAAUGUGUCUCGGCUAAGGUGUCUUGGCUAAUGUGUCUUGGAUAAUGUGUCUUGGCUAAUGUGUCUUGGCUAAGGUGUCUUGGCUAAUGUGUCUCGGCUAAUGUGUCUUGGCUAAUGUGUCUUGGCUAAGGUGUCUUGGCUAAGGUGUCUUGGCUAAGGUGUCUCGGCUAAUGUGUCUUGGCUAAGGUGUCUUGGCUAAGGUGUCUUGGCUAAGGUGUCUUGGCUAAUGUGUCUUGGCUAAGGUGUCUUGGCUAAGGUGUCUUGGCUAAGGUGUCUUGGCUAAUGUGUCUUGGCUAAUGUGUCUUGGCUAAGGUGUCUUGGCUAAGGUGUCUUGGCUAAGGUGUUUCGGCUAAUGUGUCUUGGCUAAUGUGUCUUGGCUAAGGUGUCUUGGCUAAGGUGUCUUGGCUAAUGUGUCUUGGCUAAUGUGUCUUGGCUAAUGUGUCUUGGCUGAAGUGUCUUGGCUAAGGUGUCUUGGCUAAGGUGUCUUGGCUAAGGUGUCUUGGCUAAUGUGUCUCGGAUAAUGUGUCUUGGCUAAGGUGUCUUGGCUAAUGUGUCUUGGCUAAGGUGUCUUGGCUAAUGUGUCUUGGCUAAGGUGUCUUGGCUAAGGUGUCUUGGCUAAUGUGUCUUGGCUAAGGUGUCUUGGCUAAUGUGUCUUGGCUAAGGUGUCUUGGCUAAUGUGUCUUGGCUAAUGUGUCUUGGCUAAGGUGUCUUGGCUAAGGUGUCUUGGCUAAGGUGUCUCGGCCAAUGUGUCUUGGCUAAUGUGUCUUGGCUAAGGUGUCUUGGCUAAGGUGUCUUGGAUAAUGUGUCUUGGCUAAUGUGUCUUGGCUAAUAUGUCUUGGCUAAUGUGUCUUGGCUAAUGUGUCUUGGCUAAGGUGUCUUGGCUAAUGUGUCUUGGCUAAGGUGUCUUGGCUAAGGUGUCUUGGCUAAUGUGUCUUGGCUAAUGUGUCUUGGCUAAUGUGUCUUGGCUAAGGUGUCUUGGCUAAUGUGUCUUGGCUAAUGUGUCUCGGCUAAGGUGUCUUGGCUAAUGUGUCUUAGCUAAUGUGUCUUGGCUAAGGUGUCUUGGCUAAUGUGUCUUGGCUAAUGUGU